UACGAAGGGGGCUAGCGUUGUUCGGAUUUACUGGGCGUAAAGCGCACGUAGGCGGAUCGUUAAGUCGGGGGUGAAAUCCUGGAGCUCAACUCCAGAACUGCCUUCGAUACUGGCGAUCUUGAGUCCGGAAGAGGUGAGUGGAACUCCUAGUGUAGAGGUGGAAUUCGUAGAUAUUAGGAAGAACACCAGGGGCGAAGGCGGCUCACUGGUCCGGUACUGACGCUGAGGUGCGAAAGCGUGGGGAGCAAACAGG
rnacentral:rRNA from 1 species